UGAACAGAAGCCAAUGGGGGGCGUCUAGCUGUUAAUUAGAAAUUUGUAGAGUAAUUCUUCCUGUUCAG
rnacentral:tRNA from 2 species